rnacentral:rRNA from 1 species
CCUACGGGAGGCAGCAGUGAGGAAUAUUGGUCAAUGGACGAGAGUCUGAUCCAGCCAAGUAGCGUGAAGGAUGACUGCCCUAUGGGUUGUAAACUUCUUUUAUAAAGGAAUAAAACGAGGCACGCGUGACUUUUUGCAUGUACUUUAUGAAUAAGGAUCGGCUAACUCCGUGCCAGCAGCAGCGGUAAUAUGGAGGAUCCGAGCGUUAUCCGGAUUUAUUGGUUUUAAAGGGAGCGUAGAUGGGUUGUUAAGUCAGUUGUGAAAGUUUGCGGCUCAACCGUAAAAUUGCAAUUGAUACUGGCAGGCUUGAGUACAGUUGAGGUAGGCGGAAUUCGCGGUGUAGCGGUGAAAUGCGUAGAUAGCACGAAGAACCCCGAUUGCGAAGGCAGCUUACUAAACUGUGACUGACAUUGAUGCUCGAAAGUGUGGGUAUCAAACAGGAUUAGAUACCCGAGUAGUC